rnacentral:rRNA from 1 species
AGGAUGCUUUUGGCAAGGUGCCUUCCGAGUUCCCUGGAACGGGACGCCAUAGAGGGUGAGAGCCCCGUCUGGUCGGACACCGAGCCUCUGUAAAGCUCCUUCGACGAGUCGAGUAGUUUGGGAAUGCUGCUCAAAAUGGGAGGUAUAUGUCUUCUAAAGCUAAAUACCGGCCAGAGACCGAUAGCGCACAAGUAGAGUGAUCGAAAGAUGAAAAGCACUUUGAAAAGAGAGUUAAAUAGCACGUGAAAUUGUUGAAAGGGAAGCGUUUAUGACCAGACUUGGCCCGGUUGAUCAUCCAGCCUUCUGGCUGGUGCACUCUGCCGGUCCAGGCCAGCAUCAGUUCGUCGCGGGGGAUAAAGGUUUCGGGAAUGUAUCUCCUCCGGGAGUGUUAUAGCCCGUUGCGUAAUACCCUGCGGUGGACUGAGGUCCGCGCUCUGCAAGGAUGCUGGCGUAAUGGUCAUCAACGACCCGUCUUGAAACACGGACCA